CCAGACUCCUACGGGAGGCAGCAGUGGGGAAUAUUGGACAAUGGACCAAGAGUCUGAUCCAGCAAUUCUGUGUGCACGAUGAAGUUUUUCGGAAUGUAAAGUGCUUUCAGUUGGGAAGAAAAAAAUGACGGUACCAACAGAAGAAGUGACGGCUAAAUACGUGCCAGCAGCCGCGGUAAUACGUAUGUCACGAGCGUUAUCCGGAUUUAUUGGGCGUAAAGCGCGUCUAGGUGGUUAUGUAAGUCUGAUGUGAAAAUGCAGGGCUCAACUCUGUAUUGCGUUGGAAACUGUAUAACUAGAGUACUGGAGAGGUAAGCGGAACUACAAGUGUAGAGGUGAAAUUCGUAGAUAUUUGUAGGAAUGCCGAUGGGGAAGCCAGCUUACUGGACAGAUACUGACGCUAAAGCGCGAAAGCGUGGGUAGCAAACAGGAUUAGAUACCCUGGUAGUCCACGCUGUAAACGAUGAUUACUAGGUGUUGGGAGUCGAACCUCAGCGCCCAAGCAAACGCGAUAAGUAAUCCGCCUGGGGAGUACGUACGCAAGUAUGAAACUCAAAGGAAUUGACGGGGGCCCGCACAAG
rnacentral:rRNA from 1 species